rnacentral:lncRNA from 1 species
UUAAGUAUUAAAAAGUAAAAAAAACCAAUAUGUUAUUUUUUCUAUUUAGAAAAAGCUACAUAUUUUGGCUUUUUCUAUUUAGUAAAAAGUUUAUAAUAAGUCAUGAAAAAGUAGAAAAACAAACAACCUAAAUUCUAAAACUAAAUUGCUUUUAGCAAAAAGCCAAAAAAACAAACACCACCUUAAUAAGGUGUGAGGUUUGCAAUCAGGAACAUUCUUGUCAAAGAGAACUUGCCAGUCACCAUGCCAUGGAUCUACCAGAAAAAAAAAUGUUCAGGAAAACAACAAUUUGUUCAAUACAUGAGAAGGAUUCAUACUUUUGCAAAGACAUUGUUCCUUCUUUAUUUAGAGUUCUAAAUAGGCUAACUAGGCGCUUGAUUGUUUGGCAAAGGGGGUGUUAGAUCCAUAGAGAUCUUUUUAAGAGACUUAGGCUUUUAUUUAUUGGUCUUGCAGGUUUUCUUGGAUGGAUUUUAGUUUCUAUUUUCCCUAUUGUUACUUUCUCAACAGAUAUCUGAUCCUUCAUUGUUAACUUUCUCAUUAUUAUUAAUAAAAUCUGAUAAUACUAAACAAGUUUUAUACAUUCAAGACAUGCUUAAAGGUCUGGUGGAAAAUGAAUUGCUCCAUUGUGUUUUAUAUAUUGUUUUAUUUGCAAAUCCAUCCUCAUGAGCAGGGGCCAUUACAAAAACUGUUGGCUAUCAUUAUAUGAGAUGAGAUAUGCGUCAUAUUAUGAAUCCAGCAAUAGAUUCCAUACAUAGUUGUGGCCAUGGCUUCAAUUUCUGGAUCAUGAAUUUCUUCUGCAAAUUUGUAUGUAAAACGCAACAGAGUGAUCAAAUUCUCACUGAACAUUCAAACACAUACUUGAUUAAUUCAAUAUGAAACAAAUAAUCACAACUUAACAAAGCCCUAAAUCCCAACUGCUUGGGUAGAUUGACCAAAUUCCUUUGCAAAUCAAUUGUAUCUAGGUUUAUACCAUUCACUAAAUCAUUGGAAAUAGCAAAUCAAUUGUACGUACCGUUUAUGUUUCCAUGGUAAAACUAGAGAAUGUUUAUUCCAUCCAAAUCUUUUUUAUAUAUAAUUGUACAAGAUAAUGUUCCUAGAUAAUUAAUUAUAUAGAAAUACUAGCUUGACCAGUGAACAAGAAUGAAAUCCUAGAAUUCAAAUUGUCAACAAUAGCAUUGACAGGUUAAAAGCAUUCAAAGAGAAACCCUAGCCCUCUAUUUGGUUUCCACACAAAUAGAGCAAUAAAAGACAACUUAUUUCUCAUCUUUUACUUCCAAAAAAGAAAAAGGGAAAAGCCCUUCGUACUGUGAAUUUUAAGUAAAGUGGCAUGUUUCUGCAUUCCCGAAUCAUCAUUGAUGAAAAUUUUAUGAUUCAAAUCAUUGUUGGUGAAAAUUUUUCAAUUCAAAAUUCUAAUUGUUUUUUUCAUGUUUUCUUAGUAUCUAAACUAAAUAUAUUUUCAUCCAAGAAAACUAUCUAUUUUUAUACAAGCAAGCAUUUCCACUUAGCAAAUACCGUUAAUCUAACAAAAAUCUAGCCGUAAUCUAGACUGGCAAUAGUUCCACGGCUGUUCAAAGAGAAACCCUAGAAUCGAAAACUUCCAGCAAUAGCAUAUCCAACCUAUAAAGCACUCAGAGUGAAAUCCGACCCUCUGUUUGGUUACCAAGAAAAAUAAAACAAAACCACAUUUUGAUUUCUUUGUUUUCUCUCUCACUUUCUUUGCUUCCAAAAAUCCAACAAUAAAAAAUUUAAAAUUUAAAAAAUUAGAUCAACUAAGCCAAAGAGUCUUAUCAGUUUUAGGUAAAGUGCAAUCUUCUGUAUUCUCUAACCCUAGAUGGCAAAAUUUUCUUGCAUUUUCUCAUUAUUUCGAUUGUAUCCAACGGAGAAGCUGAUUGAAUGAAUUGGGAGUAGAGAUCGUAACAGUACCUUGAACUCAGAGAUCGAUCGAAACGCAGCCUUUGGAGAAGUGACAAUUGACCCUUUUUGCGUACCGACAACCGAGAGAUUGAAUGCUUCUCUGUAAACAGUUAUCGGAUCCCCUCAACUCAGAUAUCGCCCGAAACGCAGCGUUUGGAGAAGGGACGAUAGGAAUCAUAGGACGCCUACGGAGUUCAGUCGGGUAAUAAUGGGCUGGUCAUGGGCCGGCCCAAUAUCUCUCGAUCAAAUUUUACUGCCUACAUAGUUUGAUCUGAAUGAAAGCUAACUCAACUUCAUCCCCUACUUAAUUUAUUUUAGAUUUUCAAUCCAUACUCAAUUUAAUCAUGUU